GCUGGAGUGGCGGAACUGGCAUACGCGCUAGCCUUAGGAGCUAGUGCCCGCAAGGGCUUGAGAGUUCAAAUCUCUCCUCCAGCACCA
rnacentral:tRNA from 1 species